rnacentral:tRNA from 1 species
AAAGGUAUAGUUCAAGCAGGAGAGCGCAUGCUUAGCAUGCAUGAGGUCCUGGGUUCAAUCCCCAGUACUUCCU